UUUCUCUGCCUCUGUGGUGGAUAGUGGAGUGUUUCCCAUGUGGUACUGGUGUGGUGGAUAUCCCUUCACUGGUAGCCUGGUAACAUACACUCCCAGGCCUUUCUCUGCCUCUGUGGUGGAUAGUGGAGUGUUUCCCAUGUGGUAUUGGUGUGCUGGAUAUCCCUUCACUGGUAGCCUGGUAACAUACACUCCUAGGCCUUUCUCUGCCUCUAUGGUGGAUAGUGGAGUGUUUCCCAUGUGGUAUUGGUGCGCUGGAUAUCCCUUCACUGGUAGCCUGGUAACAUAAUUAUACUCCCAGGCCUUUCUCUGCCUCUGUGGUGGAUAGUGGAGUGUUACCCAUGUGGUAUUGGUGUGCUGGAUAUCCCUUCACUGGUAGCCUGGUGACAUAUUAUCCCAGGUCUUUCUCUGCCUCUGUGGUGGAUAGUGGAGUGUUUCCCAUGUAGUAUUGGUAUGUUGGAUAUCCCUUCACUGGUAGCCUGGUAACAUACACUCCCAGGUCUUUCUCUGCCUCUGUGGUGGAUAGUCGAGUGUUACCCAUGUGGUAUUGGUGUGCUGGAUAUCCCUUCACUGGUAGCCUGGUAACAUACACUCCCAGGUCUUUCUCUGCCUCUGUGGUGGAUAGUGGAGUUUCCCAUGUGGUAUUGGUGUGCUGGAUAUCCCUUCACUGGUAGCCUGGUAACAUACACUCCAAGGUCUUUCUCUGCCUCUGUGGUGGAUAGUGAAGUGUGUCCCAUGUGAUAUCAGUGUGCUGGAUAUCCCUUCACUGGUAGCCUGGUAACAUACACUCCCAGGUCUUUCUCUACUUCUGUGGUGGAUAUUGGAGUGUUUCCCAUGUGGUAUUGGUGUGCUGGAUAUCCCUUCACUGGUAGCCUGGUGACAUAUAAUCCCAGGUCUUUCUCUGCCUCUGUGGUGGAUAGUGGAGUGUUUCCUAUGUGGUAUUGGUAUGUUGGAUAUCCCUUCACUGGUAGCCUGGUAACAUACACUCCCAGGUCUUUCUCUGCCUCUGUGGUGGAUAGUGGAGUGUUUCCCAUGUGGUAUUGGUGUGCUGGAUAUCCCUUCACUGGUAGCCUCAUAACAUACACUCCCAGGUCUUUCUCUGCCUCUGUGGUGGAUAUUGGCGUGUUUCCCAUGUGGUAUUGGUGUGCUGGAUAUCCCUUCACUGGUAGCCUGGUAAAAUACACUCCAAGGUCUUUCUUUGCCUCUGUGGUGGAUAGUGAAGUGUUUCCCAUGUGGUAUCGGUGUGCUGGAUAUCCCUUCACUGGUAGCCUGGUAACAUACACUCCCAGGUCUUUCUCUGCCUCUGUGGUGGAAAGUGGAGUGUUUCCCAUGUGGUACUGGUGUGCUGGAUAUCUCCUCCCAAGGUUCAGGACUUUACAUUUUUUCCUCAUUGCAUUGUAGCAGCCACUUUUUGUUCCACUCCUAAAGCUUGGUGAUGUCUUCUUGUAGGAAAUCCACAGUCAAGGGGUUAAAAAUAGGCCUUUCUGACAAACUGUUGCAAUUUUUAUAACACUCUUACUUCCCUUAUCAGAUUAUAUUAUGUUGUUUGUCCACAACACAAGUCCUGCAGCAAUACUUCCUCUCCACAACACAAGUCCUAUAGCAAUACUUCCUCUCCACAACACAAGUCCUACAGCAAUACUUCCUCUCCACAACACAAGUCCUAUAGCAAUACUUCCUCUCCAUAACACAAGUCCUACAGCAAUACUUCCUCUCCACAACACAAGUCUUACAGCAAUACAAGGAUCGUAGUGUUACGUCUACGUAAAGACGAGAAAUAAGCAAACAGUGAGUGCUGGGCUGACGUAACCUUGCCUCGACGUACAGAGAUCAAAGUGUGAAUUGAAGUUACUUAAACAAACAUCUCGUAAGUAAGGUUGACAAAUUAUAUUCCAUCAGUUUAAAUGACAUAAUCUUCCCUAUACAUACAGAUCAAGGCAACAUAUGAAAUGAAAUGAGGUUACUUAUACAAACAUCUCGUAAGUAAGGUUGGCGUAACUUAUAUUUUGCUAGUUUAAAUGACAUAAUCUUCUCUAUACAUACAGGUCAAAGUAACAUACGACAUACGAGUUAAUUGAGGUUACUCAUAAAAAUAUCUCAAAGGUAAGGUUGGUGUACCUUAUAUUUUGCUAGUUUCAAGGAUGUAAUCUUCGCUAUACAUAGAGAUCACAGUAACAUACAACAUAUGAAAUGAAUUGAGGUUACUUAUAGAAACAUACCAGUGAAUUGAGGUUACUUAUACAAACAUACCAGUGAAUUGAAGUUACUUAUACAAACAUACCAGUGAAUUGAAGUUACUUAUACAAACAUACCAGUGAAUUGAGGUUACUUAUACAAACACCUCGCAGGUUAAGGUUGACAUAACUUAUAUAUCGUUAGUUUAAGAGAUGUAAUCUUGCCUAUACGUACAGAGAUCAAAAUAAAUUAUCUCGAGGGUAGGGUUCACGUAACUUGUAUUUCGUUAGUUUAAGGUUACGUAUACUUACAAUAACGUUGUAAAGAGGGAAAGAAUAAAGGAAAGAAAGAAGGUGUGUCGAAAUGUCAUCUUAUCGCCUACAAACACCUAGAGACAAACAUUGGGGUGAGGGAGGGAGGGAAGGGUAGCACACACACACACACACACACACACACACACACACACACACACACACACACACAAAUGAAA